AUUGAACCCACCUGGACAAUCCAGGGUCAUCUUCCUAUCUUAGAGUGGAUGCUCAUGGAAAUAUUCUGUUGACAUCGCUCGAAGUUCACAAUGAAAUGAAUGAGGUCGCAGGUGGUGUUG
rnacentral:sRNA from 1 species